rnacentral:lncRNA from 1 species
AAGCAUAAUAAGAGGCGUGUUCCACCACUGUGGACGGGGUCCCUGGGCUUUCCCCUAGGGUCCCAUCAGCUGCUUAUGUUCUACCUUCUGACGGAUCACAGGAGGAGCCUGCAGCGGAGGAGCCUCCUCCUCCUCAGCAUCAGACCUAAAGGGAGUGUCCUGCCUGAAGGACCGGCUCAAGGUCGCACUAACAGCUCUUGCUAACUCCUGUUCCAGGCUGUUUAUCUGGGCCUCCAAGUACCCUGCUUGCGCCUGGAGGUCUCUCACCCCCAGGUCCUGCUCAAAGCUGUGCACUUGGGCCCCCAGGCAUGCGGCUUGCUCCGGAAGGUCCCUUACCUGUGGCACUGAGCAUGUACUUCCUGCAGUGCAGUUAGAAAUGCCCAUCCGACUCUGCUUGCAAAGUUCCUUUAUUUAUAGGCACAGCUGCUUAAAGACUGUUACCGGAAAGGAAUCCUGAUCCAGACGCCAAGAGAGGGUUCUUGGACUCAUGCAAGAAAGACUUCAGAAUACGAGUUUUGAAUUUUUGAAUUGCUGUUAAAACUUUCAUCAUGAACACUGAAGUGAGUGAAAAGAGACUUUUGCAGUCAUUUUUUUGUUCUCAGGUCCCUGGACCAUGAAGGGCCACAUCCAAGGAGCUACCCCAGGAGGCCUCUCAUUUGCAUUUGUCCCCGCUAAUGCAGGACAGAGAUCAUGGAAGUUGGGCCCGACUGGAUGAGAUUUGGGGGUCUUUGGAAGUGGAGAAUGUGUUUGCCCUGGGGAAGAGAGGUGAUGUCUAGGAGACCUCUUCACUCAGGGCAAGCUCUAUGACCUGCUUUGACUCCAGAAUGUGGUAGAAGUGGCAUCACAUAAAUUGCAGAGCCUAGGCUUCAAGAGACCUUGCAACUUGCCUCUCACUGACUUGAAGUGCUCCCAUCAGAGCAUCUUGUAAGGAGCAGGUGGAGCAUGUGGACAAGCCAUCCCCACCAGCCCCUGAGACAUGUGAGAGAGGCCAGAACAGGCCAUCCGGACCCCACUGUGCUGGUGGAUGAGACAGCAGAAGGAAUAUCAACCUACCAACAGAAUCCUGAGAAAUGCUCACUCUUACUUCAAGCUGCUGCAUUUUGAUGUUAUGAAACCAUAAAUAACUUAUGAAGUCAUCUUUGCUGACUUAAAGUUUUCCAUAACUUUAUUAUAACAUAUCAAAAUUAUGAAAAAUGUGAAAAGUAGAAAACUGAUGAAUUUUGCUUCUUCAUAUGGUCUUUAAGAAUCUCAAAGGCACUGAAGUUUUUUAUCUUUUCUGUCUUAGAAUAAAAAACCUUGAAUGAAAAUCUGCUUCUUGGAAAAGCAGCAAGGUUUAUGCAGAGGCAA